rnacentral:tRNA from 1 species
GCCAACGUAGCUCAGCUGGUAGAGCAGAUCAUUCGUAAUGAUCAGGUCGUCCGUUCGAUCCGGAUCGUUGGCUCC